AAGAAAGCAGGCUAUGCCUCACCUACUCCUUCCUGGGCUAAAGAUCUCAGACUUGGUUGCUCAUCUUAAUUCGGGAAAAAUAAAUGAAGGAAUUCUUCUAUCAUUACACACAACACAGAAUAAUCUGUUUAAGAAAUUAUUUUUGAUCAUCCACAUUUUGAUGCCAAUCCCACAUUUGUAAGUUUAAUGGAAUAAUAAGGUGUUUUUGAU
rnacentral:lncRNA from 1 species